GUGAAUCAUCGAAUCUUUGAACGCACAUUGCGCCCCUCGGUAUUCCGUGGGGCAUGCCUGUUCGAGCGUCAUUUAAACCCUCAAGCUCAGCUUGGUGUUGGGUGCUUGUCCCGCCUUCUGCGCGGCGACUCACCUCAAAAUCAGUGGCAGCCCGCAUCCGCCGGCCGUGAGCGCAGCACAAUCGCGCCCUAGGUCCCGGCGGGUCGGCUCUCCAGAAGCCUAUUUUACCACUUUUGACCUCGGAUCAGGUAGGGAUACCCGCUGAACUUAAGCAUAUCAAUAAGCGGAGGA
rnacentral:misc_RNA from 1 species